GACGAACGCUGGCGGCGUGCUUAACACAUGCAAGUCGAACGGAAAGGCCCUGCUUUUGUGGGGUGCUCGAGUGGCGAACGGGUGAGUAACACGUGAGUAACCUGCCCUUGACUUUGGGAUAACUUCAGGAAACUGGGGCUAAUACCGGAUAGGAGCUCCUGCUGCAUGGUGGGGGUUGGAAAGUUUCGGCGGUUGGGGCUGGACUCGCGGCUUAUCAGCUUGUUGGUGGGGUAGGGGCUUACCAAGGCUUUGGCGGGUCGCCGGCCUGGGGGGGGGACCGGCGGCGUUGGGGCUGAGGUAGGGCCCAGACUCCUACGGGAGGCAGGAGUGGGGAAUAGUGCACAAUGGGCGGAAGCCUGAUGCAGCGACGCCGCGUGCGGGAUGACGGCCUUCGGGUUGUAAACCGCUUUCGCCUGUGACGAAGCGUGAGUGACGGUAAUGGGUAAAGAAGCACCGGCUAACUACGUG
rnacentral:rRNA from 1 species